rnacentral:rRNA from 1 species
AUUGAACGCUGGCGGCAGGCUUAACACAUGCAAGUCGAGCGGAGAUGAGGUGCUUGCACCUUAUCUUAGCGGCGGACGGGUGAGUAAUGCUUAGGAAUCUGCCUAUUAGUGGGGGACAACAUUCCGAAAGGAAUGCUAAUACCGCAUACGCCCUACGGGGGAAAGCAGGGGAUCUUCGGACCUUGCGCUAAUAGAUGAGCCUAAGUCGGAUUAGCUAGUUGGUGGGGUAAAGGCCUACCAAGGCGACGAUCUGUAGCGGGUCUGAGAGGAUGAUCCGCCACACUGGGACUGGGACACGGCCCAGACUCCUACGGGAGGCAGCAGCGGGGAAUAUUGGACAAUGGGGGGAACCCUGAUCCAGCCAUGCCGCGUGUGUGAAGAAGGCCUUAUGGUUGUAAAGCACUUUAAGCGAGGAGGAGGCUACUGAGACUAAUACUCUUGGAUAGUGGACGUUACUCGCAGAAUAAGCACCGGCUAACUCUGUGCCAGCCGCCGCCGUAACAC